GUCAAUGGCGGCUGUGCGCGGGAGGAUUUCGAUCCUGCCGGGUCCUAUGUCCCCGGUUUCCAACCUGCGUACAGCUGCCACCCCU
rfam:Pseudomonas batumici strain TCM B-321 Contig_33, whole genome shotgun sequence.